rnacentral:rRNA from 1 species
CCAGCUCCAAGAGUGUAUAUUAAAGUUGUUGCAGUUAAAAAGCUCGUAGUUGGAUCUAGGGACGCGCAUUUCAAGCGCCCGUGCCGUCGGGUCAAACCGGCGGCUGCGUUGGCGUUGCGGGCUCGGUCCGUCGGUGCCCCACAAAGGGCUAUCGGCGUGUCAACCGGCCCGCCCGUCCCCUCCUUCUGGAUUCCCGUUCCUGCUAUUGAGUUAGUGGGGACGUCACAGGGGGCUCAUCGUCGUCGUGCAAACGGCGGCGGUGGGUCCCUGGGGCCCAGAUCGUUUACCGUGAAAAAAUUAGAGUGUUCAAAGCAGGCAGAUCCAAUUUUCUGCCACCGAAUACAUUAGCAUGGGAUAAUGGAAUAGGACCCUGUCCUCCUAUUUUCAGUUGGUUUUGGCAGCGCGAGGACUAGGGUAAUGAUUAAUAGGGAUAGUUGGGGGCAUUAAUAUUUAAUUGUCAGAGGUGAAAUUCUUGGAUUUAUGAAAGAUUAACUUCUGCGAAAGCAUCUGCCAAGGAUGUUUUCAUUAAUCAAGAACGAAAGUUAGGGGAUCGAAGACGAUCAGAUACCGUCGUAGUCUUAACCAUAAACGAUGCCGACCAGCGAUUAGGAGACGUUGAAUACAAAACACCACCAUCGGUGCGGUCGUCCUUGGCGUCGGUCUUUCGGGGCCGGCGCGGGGACGGCUUAGCCCGGUGGCACCGGUGAAUGACUCCCCUAGCAGCUUGUGAGAAAUCAUAAGUCUUUGGGUUCCGGGGGGAGUAUGGUCGCAAGGCUGAAACUUAAAGGAAUUGACGGAAGGGCACCACCAGGAGUGGAGCCUGCGGCUUAAUUCGACUCAAC